rnacentral:lncRNA from 1 species
CUGAUUCAAUCAACGUGUGCCUUCUGAACCGACUGACGUCAGCGCUCUUAUUGGAUUUGUAUUUCAGUUUCAGUGGACCGAUAAUCUCUCGCCGCCGGCCGCCGCCUCCCCGGUCUGCGCCUCGCAUCCUGUGUGAAACAAGGCCAUAGGUCAAAACCUGACCUACCGGAUGGCUGCGCCGCAGACGGUCAAAGUGCGAGACUGAGGGCGCAGAUGAAAACUGUGGCGGUGUCCGCUGGUUCUCCGGCCCUCCCCCUGUUCGUGUCUCUCCUACUCUGUGCUCACGUAGGUAGUGUUUCAAUACACCUGAACUCCCAGUGAAGAUUUUCUGUUUCUCUGUCCGCUUCAGGAUUGAUUCUAACAUCCUGUUGAUCACUUGGCCCCUUCACGACCUGGCUCCAGACGCCAUUGUAAAUGGAUCCUCGAGCCGUGCGGCCUUCUCUCUCUCUGCCAGAGUCCAGGCUGACAACCACAGAGCCUUUACCAAUCGGGGCAAACGAGGUUUCCUGUGAGAGCCGAUUAACCUGUCGGAAGUGGAAAACCCACUGCUGACACAAGUCCUUGAGAAUCCGCCACCUGCCUGUGCAGAAUGAUUCGCAGUCUCCAUGGAAACCUUAUCAGCUGAGAGGGACAGGAGCCGGGGGAGCGUCUGACAGAACAAGAGGGGGAACGAGAGGAGGCUGUCUUUUGGGAGAAGAGCAAAGUCAUGGGUCUCUCCCCACAUGCCUUGAGCUCAUUCAUCGUGCAUUGAGACCGUCGAAGCAACGGGUGACAGGAAGUGCUGCAAGUCUAGUUCAGAGGUAAACGCCUCGGUGUCCGAGUUAUGAAACCGACUCCUCGUGUGCAACCUGGAUAACGAGAAGCUUGGACUUACAGUACUUAGUUUUCUUUUUUCUUUCCUUUUUAUUAUAGAAAUGUUAAAUGGGAACCUCUUUACUUUUCAGUGCGACUAAAAAAUAAAGAGGUUCCCAUUGACAGACUGGAAAAACUCUAGCAUUUCAUCAGGUUUACAUUAAACUGCUUCUCGGCCGCCACAGGUGUUGUCAUCAUAAAGAUUUCCUCGAGCCACAUACUGUGUUAUUUGGCAACACCAUAUCUGACGCUCCUCUCGUUUCUCUUGAUCGUGUUAAGGGACUUAAACGUCUCAUGUCCGCGAGACAUUACAUUCCCUCCUCAUCUCUUUUUUUAUUCAUUUGAUGUCCGUGCACAACACAUCUGUCAUGGAGAGUGACCUCUGUGCCGGGCUGCUGCCGCCUCGUCCCUGAUGAGCGCUUUGUUUUAAUGCCCUGGCACC